AGGGUUCGAUUCCGGAGAGGGAGCCUGAGAAACGGCUACCACAUCCAAGGAAGGCAGCAGGCGCGCAAAUUACCCAAUCCAGACAUUGGGAGGUAGUGACGAGAAAUACUGAGGAUGUUCUAUUAGAAUGUCACUCGGGAUGAACGUAGCAUAAAACAUUCGAUGAGGAUCUACUGGAGGGCAAGUCUGGUGCCAGCAGCCGCGGUAAUUCCAGCUCCAGUAGUGUAUAUCAACAUUGUUGCGUUUAAAACGCUCGUAGUUGGAUUACAGGGUGUCAAAGGGUUUGUGCUUAUUUAUAGCCGGACCUGUCGCUGUGUUUGUCACAGUCGGUUUCUUAAGGGGAGCUGGCUGCGUCUAACUGGCGAUGACGCCUUUUUGUCGCACUGGCUCUGGCGUCAACUUUGUUGGGGGCGUCAGAAGCGGGUGGAGUGUGCCUUGAAUAAAGCAUAGUGCUCAAAGCAGGCGUACGCUCGUGUGUAAUAGCAUGGAACAGAUAGCAGGCCUUCGGCUAGCCGUACAAUUGUUGUUUGCUGUUGCAAAGCAGCGGGCAGUCAAUGGUAGGUUCACUUUGUUGGUUGUGGACCGGGUCGCAUCGGUUAAAAGGGACAUUUGAGGGCAUUGGUACUUUGUGGCGAGAGGUGAAAUUCUUAGACCCACAAAAGACUGACUGGUGCGAAAGCGUUUGUCAAGAAUGUUUUCAUUAAUCAAGAACGAAGGUCAGAGGUUCGAAGACGAUCAGAUACCGUCCUAGUUUUGACAGCAAACGAUGCUAGCACAGGGCCAGGCCGUCCGCCCAUGGAUGGGACGAGACAGCUUGGUCCUGACGGGAAACCUCAAGCUUUCGAGUUACGGGGAGAGUAUAGCUUCAAGGCGGGAAUUUAAAGAAAUUGACGGAGAGGCACCACCAGGAGUGGAGCCUGCGGCUUAAUUUGACUCAACACGGGGAAACUCACCAGGUCCAGACAUUGGCAGGAUUGACAGGCUGGUAGACCUUUCAUGAUUCGGUGGAUGGUGGUGCAUGGCCGUUCUUAGUUGGUGGAGUGAUCUGUCAGGUCUAUUCCGGUAACGAGCGAGACCGCGGUCAGUAGUUUUCAUUUUGCUUGAUAAAGUCGCAAGACCGCUGGCUGCUUACCAAAAUUGAAUAAAUAUGGCAGAUCAGCCAGUGAAGCAUGGUGGACUACUGGGACUACUGGACUCUAAGCCAGGGGAAGCGCGGCAAUAACAUGGAGUGAUCUGUCAGGUCUAUUCCGGUAACGAGCGAGACCGCGGCCCCGUCUGGGUCCGUGGACUUUUUGAGGUGGGGUGCCUAUGAAUUGGGGGCCUAUUAAUUAGUUGAAUUUAUUUGAGUGGGUGGCUAAAUUGGUGGGCUCUGACUUGGGGUUUUGGGAAUUUCGGGGGACUACCGGUUGAAAGCCGGGGUAAGCGCGGCAAUAACAGGUCUGUGAUGCCCUUCGAUGUCCUGGGCUGCACGCGGGCUACAAUGGCGUCAGUAGAGAGUUGCUAGCCUGAGGAGGCCGGCUAACCUGCUAAUGGACGCCGUAACGGGGAUUGAGCCUUGGAAUUGUGGCUCAUGAAAGAGGAAUUCCUCGUAAGGGCCGGUCAUCAGCCGGCCCUGAAUACGUCUCUGCCUCUUGUACACACCGCCCGUCGCUACUACCGAUUGAAUUGUCCUCAAAGGGGGUUGGAGCGGGACAUUUGGGCUGUGUUAAUUUAUAGUUUGAGUUUAUGCGAUGUUUAGACAUGACAUAUGCAAAGCGCUGAUGCCUCAAAUUA
rnacentral:rRNA from 1 species